rnacentral:rRNA from 1 species
AACGUAGGUUCCGAGCGUUAUCCGGAUUUACUGGGCGUAAAGGGUGCGUAGGCGGUCGGGUAAGUCUGAUGUGAAAUCUCACAGCUUAACUGUGAAACUGCAUUGGAUACUAUUCGGCUUGAGAGUUGGAGGGGGGACUGGAAUUCUUGGUGUAGCAGUGAAAUGCGUAGAUAUCAAGAGGAACACCAGUGGCGAAGGCGAGUCCCUGGACAACUUCUGACGCUGAGGCACGAAAGCUAGGGGAGCAAACAGG